rnacentral:rRNA from 1 species
GUGAAGUCAUUGAUGCCAUGCUUCCAGGAAAAGCCUCUAAGCUUCAGAUUGUAAGGAAUCGUACCCCAAACCGACACAGGUGGUCGGGUAGAGAAUACCAAGGCGCUUGAGAGAACUCGGGUGAAGGAACUAGGCAAAAUGGUACCGUAACUUCGGGAGAAGGUACGCUCUCGACGGUGAAGUCCCUCGCGGAUGGAGCUAUUGAGAGUCGCAGAUACCAGGUGGCUGCAACUGUUUAUUAAAAACACAGCACUGUGCAAAAUCGCAAGAUGACGUAUACGGUGUGACGCCUGCCCGGUGCCGGAAGGUUAAUUGAUGGGGUUAGACUUCGGUCGAAGCUCUUGAUCGAAGCCCCGGUAAACGGCGGCCGUAACUAUAACGGUCCUAAGGUAGCGAAAUUCCUUGUCGGGUAAGUUCCGACCUGCACGAAUGGCGUAAUGAUGGCCACGCUGUCUCCACCCGAGACUCAGUGAAAUUGAAAUCGCUGUGAAGAUGCAGUGUACCCGCGGCUAGACGGAAAGACCCCGUGAACCUUUACUACAGCUUGGCACUGAACAUUGACCCUACAUGUGUAGGAUAGGUGGGAGGCUUUGAAGCGCAGUCGCUAGAUUGCGUGGAGCCGUCCUUGAAAUACCACCCUUGUAGUGUUGAUGUUCUAACGUCGACCCCUAAUCGGGGUUGCGGACAGUGCCUGGUGGGUAGUUUGACUGGGGCGGUCUCCUCCCAAAGCGUAACGGAGGAGCACGAAGGUGGGCUAAUCACGGUUGGACAUCGUGAGGUUAGUGCAAUGGCAUAAGCCCGCUUGACUGCGAGAAUGACAAUUCGAGCAGGUGCGAAAGCAGGUCAUAGUGAUCCGGUGGUUCUGAAUGGAAGGGCCAUCGCUCAACGGAUAAAAGGUACUCCGGGGAUAACAGGCUGAUACCGCCCAAGAGUUCAUAUCGACGGCGGUGUUUGGCACCUCGAUGUCGGCUCAUCACAUCCUGGGGCUGAAGUCGGUCCCAAGGGUAUGGCUGUUCGCCAUUUAAAGUGGUACGCGAGCUGGGUUUAGAACGUCGUGAGACAGUUCGGUCCCUAUCUGCCGUGGGCGUUGGAGAAUUGAAAGGGGCUGCUCCUAGUACGAGAGGACCGGAGUGGACGAACCUCUGGUGUUCGGGUUGUGUCGCCAGACGCAUUGCCCGGUAGCUAAGUUCGGGAUCGAUAACCGCUGAAAGCAUCUAAGCGGGAAGCGAGCCUUGAGAUGAGUUCUCCCUGAUACUUUAAGUAUCCUAAAGGGUUGUCGUAGACUACGACGUUGAUAGGCAGGGUGUGUAAGCGUUGUGAGGCGUUGAGCUAACCUGUACUAAUUGCCCGUGAGGCUUAACCAUACAACACCCAAGGGGUUU